rnacentral:tRNA from 1 species
GAGGGUGUAGCUAGGUAGAGCACAUGUUUAGCAUGCAUGAGAUCCAGGGUUCAAUCCUCAGCACCCCCU